rnacentral:lncRNA from 10 species
CUAGCACCUAAUAGGCACCAAGUAAACAUAUUAUUAAAUGAAGAAAAUAAUAAAUGAAUAAUUCCUAUUAUAUUUUCAGUGGAGGUAUAUGAAAUAGUUUGGUAUUACUAUAAUCCUUAGGUUUAAACUGAGUAUUAUGAGAGAAAAUUACUUCAGAAAGUAAUUUGUUUGUAGAAUUGGCCGAGCUUCUCUACUCAGUGAAUGUCCUAUUGAAAUCUCUGGGUUGUGCUUUUAAAUGUUGUGUUGCCAAUGUGUUCUGAGUUUCUUUUAUUGACGUAUUUCUUCUCUCUAUCUCUCAGAAAACAACCCUUUUUGCUGCACAUGUAAGUGGAGCUGUGCUUACCUUUGGUAUGGGCUCAUUAUAUAUGUUUGUUCAGACCAUCCUUUCCUACCAAAUGCAGCCCAAAAUCCAUGGCAAACAAGUCUUCUGGAUCAGACUGUUGUUGGUUAUCUGGUGUGGAGUAAGUGCACUUAGCAUGCUGACUUGCUCAUCAGUUUUGCACAGUGGCAAUUUUGGGACUGAUUUAGAACAGAAACUCCAUUGGAACCCCGAGGACAAAGGUUAUGUGCUUCACAUGAUCACUACUGCAGCAGAAUGGUCUAUGUCAUUUUCCUUCUUUGGUUUUUUCCUGACUUACAUUCGUGAUUUUCAGAAAAUUUCUUUACGGGUGGAAGCCAAUUUACAUGGAUUAACCCUCUAUGACACUGCACCUUGCCCUAUUAACAAUGAACGAACACGGCUACUUUCCAGAGAUAUUUGAUGAAAGGAUAAAAUAUUUCUGUAAUGAUUAUGAUUCUCAGGGAUUGGGGAAAGGUUCACAGAAGUUGCUUAUUCUUCUCUGAAAUUUUCAACCACUUAAUCAAGGCUGACAGUAACACUGAUGAAUGCUGAUAAUCAGGAAACAUGAAAGAAGCCAUUUGAUAGAUUAUUCUAAAGGAUAUCAUCAAGAAGACUAUUAAAAACACCUAUGCCUAUACUUUUUUAUCUCAGAAAAUAAAGUCAAA